rnacentral:rRNA from 1 species
AUGCAUAUUAAUGUUAGCGUCAAGACGCCAGGUGGCAAAAUUGUGACUAGGUUGAGAGCUCAGAUACUGAAAAAUGUGAAGAAGAUUUUCGAUGCGACAUGUCUUCAACAAGAUAUGCAACAAGUCGGCAUUCCGAAUAAGGGCUUGUUUGUUUGCUCGGGAUCCCUGCCCUUUCCCUGGGGUCAGAAGCCCGCAUAUGGAUUUAACCCUGGGAACCAUCUCAGCAGGAGCAUGCCGCCCAAUCUAUGUGGCUUCUGCACCGUUUCCACCCUCCAUGGGGCUCCGCUGCCACCUUAUGAUGCCUCCGCCGCCCAUCUAGACUGCUAG